GUUUUCCAAACGGACCCUUAGUCCGUCUCCUCUCUGCUCUUCUUUCUCCGAAGCUCUCUUCGUCUCGUUUCCACUCUGGUCUUCUCUCUCAAGCACUGUUCAUCUCAUCUUUGGCCAAGAAGAAAAUGAAGCUCUGUUCGAAUCGCCUCCCCUCCACAACUCCCUGUCGAUUUUAUGUUCCUCCACGACCUCCUCGUGUACGCCCUCAGCAACCCGUGGGAGGAGUUCUUGCUAGUUGCCGGAGCCUCCACCAGCAAGAACCUCGGCAUCUUCUGCUUCAACGAAGACGACACCCAAGCCCUGCUGUGCCAGGUUUUCACGGUCCACCCUCGCCUGCGUGACAGCUCCAAAGUUGUUCCCGUUGCACUCAACAAGGUUCCCUAAGUUGCUCCUCUCUUCUCUCUCUCUCAGUAAUUUGAUUCACCUUAUGGUGUUUUAUUGAUCCACUUUAUUGAAUUGCUUGGUAAUGACUUUUAUUGCUUUUUUGAAUUGACGUGACAUUUGGCAAUAUCCAAGUAUGGUUAUGAUUAUAUGGACGCUUAUGUACUUGUAUUCAUGGAUAUCAGAGAUGAUUGAACCUAUUCUUGAUUAUUGUUUCUGGUUAUAAUAUUUGAGCUAUCUAGAAUGGCUAUGUAUGUGUAUGUGGAUGAGCUUCAUCAUGAAUGAAUUUGGUUAAUGUUUCCUCUAUUGUCUUUGCUACAAGAAAUGCUACUAUCCCAUUGGUCAUAUUUCACUCAAGCUCUAUGUUUCAGUUCAUCAAAAUUUAUGAUAAAUUAAGAAACAGGUUGCUUUAAUUCAUCCCGGCUGCUGUUUUCUCCUUAUUGCAUGUGGCAAGUGAAAUUUCAUUGCGAAGAGAUGGCAGCGACGACAGAAAUGUCAAUGUCUUUGUUCAAAGGAGUUCCAUAAGAUUGAUGAAGGGAGGGAGUAUGCAGAGUUUAUGCAUUUUCCAAUGAAGAAGUUUACUGAGUUUGUUACUAUUUGGCAAGAGAUCUCUGAUGAGACUGACAGAGAAACUGGUCGCUCCAAGGGCAUUUCUUCUGUUCCUAUCCAUCUUAGUAUCUACUCCCCUCAUGUUGUUAAUCUAACACUGGUUGAUCUUCCUGGACUUACAAAAGUCGUCGUUGGUUAUUACAGAGGGUCAACCAGAUAGCAUUGUGCAAGACAUUCUACCAAGCACUCCUUCCUGCUUUGGCAAUUGAAUUAUGCUAGAUGAUUUUAAAGGAAAGAGGAGAUAUGUCAUGGUGCUGAUAGUUUGUGAAAGCACUGCUGAGGGAAUGUAGAAUUUGCUUAUUACAUUCAAAUCUGCAUGAUUGAACUAUGCUGGAUAAUUUUGAAUUUCUUUAGGGUGUAUGCAAUAUGCUUUUUAAUUUGUAAUCUGUCCAUAAAUAUCCAUUUUUCUUCUUGUUUUGAAUACUAAGGUGCCUUGAAAAUUUUAUAUAUUGUGAAUUUUAUAAUGGACAAAAGGUUCUUUUCGUA